rnacentral:rRNA from 1 species
UAUUGGUCAAUGGGCGGAAGCCUGAACCAGCCAUGCCGCGUGCGGGAAGAAGGCGCUACGCGUCGUAAACCGCUUUUGUCCGGGGGUAACCGCGGGGACGUGUCCCCGCCUGCAAGUACCGGACGAAUAAGGGUCGGCUAACUCCGUGCCAGCAGCCGCGGUAAUACGGAGGACCCGAGCGUUAUCCGGAUUCAUUGGGUUUAAAGGGUGCGUAGGCGGCCCGGUAAGUCAGCGGUGAAAUGCCCGCGCUUCACGCGGGAGCUGCCGUUGAUACUGCUGGGCUAGAAUCUUAGCGAGGCGGGCGGAAUGCGCGGUGUAGCGGUGAAAUGCAUAGAUAUCGCGCAGAACGCCGAUUGGGGAGCCAGCUCGCCAGCUGGGUAUUGACGCUGAGGCACGAAAGCGUGGGGAUCGAACAGGAUUAGAUACCCUGGUAGUCCACGCCGUAAACGAUGAUGGCUCGCUCUUGGUUCGCAAGGAUCAGGGGCUUAGCGAAAGCGUUAAGCCAUCCACCUGGGGAGUACGCCGGCAACGGUGAAACUCAAAUGAAUUGACGGA